rnacentral:rRNA from 1 species
CCUACGGGAGGCUGCAGUAGGGAAUCUUUCACAAUGGGCGAAAGCCUGAUGGAGCAACGCCGCGUGCAGGAUGAAGGCCUUCGGGUUGUAAACUGCUUUUAUCAGCGAGAAAUAUGAUGGUAACUUAUGAAUAAGGAUCGGCUAACUACGUGCCAGCAGCCGCGGUCAUACGUAGGAUCCGAGCAUUAUCCGGAGUUACUGGGUGUAAAGAGUUGCGUAGGUGGCAUAAUAAGUAGCUAGUGAAAUCUGGUGGCUCAACCAUUCAGACUAUUAGCUAAACUGUUAAGCUCGAGACCGUUAGGGGUAAGUGGAAUUUCUAGUGUAGGAGUGAAAUGCGUAGAUAUUAGAAGGAACACCAAUAGCGUAGGCAGGUUACUGGGACGGUUCUGACACUAAGGCACGAAAGCGUAGGGAGCAAACGGGAUUAGAUACCCCAGUAGUC